rnacentral:rRNA from 1 species
UACAGAGGGUGCGAGCGUUUUUUUUGUCCGGAAUCACUGGGCGUAAAGGGCGCGUAGGUGGCGCGACAAGUCAGUGGUGAAAGUUCGACGCUCAACGUCGAAUCGGCCACUGAUACUGUUGGGCUUUGAGCACUGUAGAGGCUAAUGGAAUUCCGGGGUGUAGCGGUGGAAUGCGUAGAGAUCCGGAAGAACACCGGUGGCGAAGGCGGUUAGC